rnacentral:tRNA from 1 species
GAAAGAGACCUGUUGGACUGCUAACCCAGCGUCCCAGGAUUAAUUUACCUGGCUCUUC